CUGCUUGAGUGAGUGGAAGUCUGGUGUUUGUGUGUGUGUGUGUGUGUGUGUGUGAUUGUUUGUUUUCAUUGAUGUUUUUUUAAAAAACCUACACACUGAUCUUAUUUGAUCUGGUCUGAGUUCGGCUCUGCUCUGAUCGGAGAUGAUAGGAAACCCGCUCGCUAGCCUCCGUGGCGAUGAGCAGCUGGCAAGAUUUUAACCUCCAGGGCCUCCACGCUUUAUGUUGUGGUCAGAGGUGAUGAAUUGAUCAGAUAUACUAGUUCUGGGUGAGUUUGGGUUCAUCUCAAGCUUCACAAUGGACAAUGAGUAGAGAGGCGAUUCUGAUCUAA